rnacentral:rRNA from 1 species
AUGGAUAGGUAUUCUACCAAACCCUGUAUUUUCGAUGGUGUUGAUUUUCAGUUCUGGAAGGCGAAGAUGAAGGCAUACAUCAUGGCGCAAAGUUACGCCAUCUGGGAGAAAGUCGCCAAGCCCUAUGUGCUUCCCGCAGACGAUGCGACCACGCCAGCAAACUUGGUUCAUGUGGAGAACAACUACAAGGCGAGGAACUUCAUCAUCCAAGGUCUACAACGGAGUGACUUCGACCGUGUCUCUCACCUUGCAUCCGCUCAUGAGGUAUGGAACGCACUUUGUAGCUAUCAUGAAGGAUCAAACUCAGUUAAGGAAGUGCGUCAGGACAUGUACAAAAAGGAGUACAUGAGGUUUGAGAUGAAAACAGGUAAAUCUUUGGAUGAAUUUUUUGCUCGCUUUAAUAAGAUUCUCAGCAAUCUACGUGCAUUAGGUGUUACCUAU